rnacentral:lncRNA from 1 species
GUGCGUGCUGAGUUCACUUCCAACACACCAGGGCUGACAAGCCCAGGGCUGGGAAGUGAAUAAUCGCACGAACCAUUUUUUAUUUAUUUAUACUUUACAAAGCAUAUUACAUAAAUUAGUUGGCGUCGCGAACUUAAGUCAUAUACGUACAAACCACAUAUGUAUACACAUGUAGUCUAUAAAUAUAUAACAGAAGACAUUCGACAGAACAUUAGACGAAGGUAUUUUACAUACGAUAGUUGACCAUUAUCGAUAACAUGCGUAUUAAGUUAAUUAAUUGAGUUAUGUUCGCUGUUUGAAUUAAUCAAUUAGAUAACACGUUCCAAUUGUAGGAGAUAGUUCCGUGCUGAGUGAUGAUAGCUGUUCAUUCAUCAAGCAAUUAAGAGAGAAGUCACUUGGUGGUGGGUGAGAUUCGCUGCCAUCUACUGUCUUUCAGCUUCAAGUGGGAUAUUUGCAUUGCUAUUCUGUAGAAUGGAAGAAGUGUGUAUAGAGUUAUUUCCCUGAAGGUGUCACUGGAUCUCUGCUUCUGGAUCCAGUAGUGAAAGGAUGUCUUCUCAUGCUCUCACGCCUGGCCUGUAGGACGCGAUCCUGGAUAUGCUGGUAGUUGGAGUGCUGGGGCUGGACAUCUUCAUUAUCUGGGUGCCGUGUUGUUGCUGCAGAUACAUCUAUUUGUUGUGCUGGUUGCAGGGGCGUCAUUCUGGGCAAGUGGUUUGCUAUCGCCUCAUUAUAACGUGGUCUGGACAGUCUUUGGAGGAUGCAUGGAUUGGUGAUCAUUCGCCUUGCCAGGUAAUUGUUGUGAGUAGUCAGUCUUUGAUAAAAUUUUCUGGUCAGCGAAUUGUACAUCUCUUCUACUGUAGGCAACUGAAGAUCUGCGUGAAUUGAACUGUUUCUGACAUACCACGGAGCGUCAACAAUAGCACGGAUGACCUUGUUCUGGAGAGUCUGAAUCCUAUCCAUUUGUGUUUUCGCAAUCAGGGGGCCCCAGACUGGCAUCGCAUAUUGCCAAAUCGGAACCACUAGCUGGCGGAANGUUUGAAUUAAUCAAUUAGAUAACACGUUCCAAUUGUAGGAGAUAGUUCCGUGCUGAGUGAUGAUAGCUGUUCAUUCAUCAAGCAAUUAAGAGAGAAGUCACUUGGUGGUGGGUGAGAUUCGCUGCCAUCUACUGUCUUUCAGCUUCAAGUGGGAUAUUUGCAUUGCUAUUCUGUAGAAUGGAAGAAGUGUGUAUAGAGUUAUUUCCCUGAAGGUGUCACUGGAUCUCUGCUUCUGGAUCCAGUAGUGAAAGGAUGUCUUCUCAUGCUCUCACGCCUGGCCUGUAGGACGCGAUCCUGGAUAUGCUGGUAGUUGGAGUGCUGGGGCUGGACAUCUUCAUUAUCUGGGUGCCGUGUUGUUGCUGCAGAUACAUCUAUUUGUUGUGCUGGUUGCAGGGGCGUCAUUCUGGGCAAGUGGUUUGCUAUCGCCUCAUUAUAACGUGGUCUGGACAGUCUUUGGAGGAUGCAUGGAUUGGUGAUCAUUCGCCUUGCCAGGUAAUUGUUGUGAGUAGUCAGUCUUUGAUAAAAUUUUCUGGUCAGCGAAUUGUACAUCUCUUCUACUGUAGGCAACUGAAGAUCUGCAUGAAUUGAACUGUUUCUGACAUACCACGGAGCGUCAACAAUAGCACGGAUGACCUUGUUCUGGAGAGUCUGAAUCCUAUCCAUUUGUGUUUUCGCAAUCAGGGGGCCCCAGACUGGCAUCGCAUAUUGCCAAAUCGGAACCACUAGCUGGCGGAAUAAAAUUACUUUGGCACGUAUUGAUAGCUUGCUCCUCCUUCCUAUCAACCAGUCCAGUUUUUUGAUCCUGCUUCUUGAUUUAGUAAUUAUAGUAUUGACAUGUUUACGGAAGUUGAUUUGUCUGUCUAUUUGUAUGCCAAGGUAGGGAUAACAUGACUUGCUGCUAAUUUGCUGAUCAGCAAGGAUAGGCAAAGUAUGCUGUCCUAGUGACGAGAGCGUAUACAUGACGUGCGCUGUCUUAUUGAGGCUAAUAGUAAUGCCCCAUUUCUUUGCCCAGGCGGCAGCAUUAACAAGAAGGCUCUGCAUUUUGUUGUUGAUGAUGUUAGCAUUCUGGCCCGACAUUUUUUUUAUUUAUUCUGCCUUCUUCGCGCUCAUCUCCGGGACUUGAGUCUCUUUUUUAUUUUAAAUUUUUAAUUGUCAGGUACUUAUUUUCUUUCAUUUGCGUUGAACAGAACAAUUACAAUAUUUGAUCUUAAUUUAACAUGGUGGUUUUUACACUUAAAAUGUGCCUUUUUUCUUUUUUUUUUUUUUAUUUUAAAUUUUAAUUGUCAGGGAACUUCUUUUCUUUGUGGCGUUGAACAGAACAAAAUUGUACAAAAUAUUUGCUCUUAAUUUAACAUGGUGGUUCACUUAUGUGCAAAAGUUAUGUCGGUAGUGGACAGUUGAAAAACAAAUUGACAAAAACUAAAUUGCAACAUUUACACACACAUGAAAAAUGAGUUUUAAAUUGGGUCAAAACGCACAGGAAAGAGUCACACAAACAAAAAAUUUGGGAGAGGCAGUUGCCCGCAUAUUAAUAUGCAAAGUGGUCGGGUUUAUGGGCAGAUAAUUAGCACAAGCAAUCUUUGAUUUAAUUGCUGUUUUAAUUCACACUAAUUCGCGCAAGAAACACUCUUCGCGCACACACACAACUCCGAUUCCGCUCGACUUGUACUUGUUUUAUUGGCGGGGGCGGACACGAAAAAAUUAAAUUAUUCGCCAGAGCUGCAGAACGUACUGCUGGCUGCCGGGGCUCAAGAACGACUCAUCAGAGCGAUGCCUCGAGCGAUGCCAAUAUUGCUACAGGCAAUUACUCGAGGGGAUCGGCUCCAGAUUCGUCUCCCCCCGGCAUACCCGCAGUACGUGUGUCUGUCGAUCGGUCGGUCAGGGUAAUUGGGGAGAGUACAAGUGAGAGUCAGAGUGUUUUUAGUUGUGUGCAGUGCCUAAAAGAAUGCUACGAAUUAGUGUGAUUUUGUCAAAAAUACACUUGUGCUUUGGCUAACGCCCAGGAAUUGAAUGGUCAAGUAGGGGGACUUUGCAUAUAUAGAGAAAAUGAUACAUUUACAUUUAAAGAACCCUAAGGCAGUCAACAUAAACAUACAUUUUGUUAUUGACGAUAUUGCGGCACGUGUGUCCUUCGACCCCUUUCUUACCCUUGCCACCUGCUGAAGGCAGGUGACUAGGAAUGCAGCGUAGGUGCAUGUGGGUCGGGCAAUAUAUGAGGGGACGGUAAUCGCAUAUGUAACGACACGGAAACAUAUUUGGCACUAAUACGGGACAAAAAUAAUAAUGAAAAAUUCACACAUAUUAGGCCGUGGCGGCUGGCG